rnacentral:rRNA from 1 species
GAUGAACGCUGGCGGCGUGCCUAAUACAUGCAAGUCGAGCGAAUGGAUUGAGAGCUUGCUCUUAUGAAGUUAGCGGCGGACGGGUGAGUAACACGUGGGUAACCUGCCCAUAAGACUGGGAUAACUCCGGGAAACCGGGGCUAAUACCGGAUAACAUUUUGAACCGCAUGGUUCGAAAUUGAAAGGCGGCUUCGGCUGUCACUUAUGAUGGACCCGCGUCGCAUUAGCUAGUUGGUGAGGUAACGGCUCACCAAGGCAACGAUGCGUAGCCGACCGGAGAGGGUGAUCGGCCACACUGGGACUGAGACACGGCCCAGACUCCUACGGGAGGCAGCAGCAGGGAAUCUUCCGCAAUGGACGAAAGUCUGACGGAGCAACGCCGCGUGAGUGAUGAAGGCUUUCGGGUCGUAAAACUCUGUUGUUAGGGAAGAACAAGUGCUAGUUGAAUAAGCUGGCACCUUGACGGUACCUAACCAGAAAGCCACGGCUAACUACGUGCCAGCCGCCGCGGUAA